UAAUACCGGAUAACGCAUAUGUGCUGGAAUGCUUUAUGCGUAAAAUGGAUUCGUCCGCCCAAGGAUGGGUCUGCGGCCUAUCAGGUAGUAGUGGGUGUAAUGUACCUACUAGCCAACAACGGGUACGGGUUGUGAGAGCAAGAGCCCGGAGAUGGAUUCUGAGACAUGAAUCCAGGCCCUACGGGGCGCAGCAGGCGCGAAAACUUUACAAUGCGGGAAACCGUGAUAAGGGAACACCGAGUGCCAGCAUCAUAUGCUGGCUGUCCAGAUGUGUAAACUACAUCUGUUAGCAAGGGCCGGGCAAGACCGGUGCCAGCCGCCGCGGUAACACCGGCGGCCCGAGUGGUGACCGUUAUUAUUGGGUCUAAAGGGUCCGUAGCCGGUUUGGUCAGUCCUCCGGGAAAUCUGAUAGCUUAACUGUUAGGCUUUCGGGGGAUACUGCCAGGCUUGGAACCGGGAGAGGUAAGAGGUACUACAGGGGUAGGAGUGAAAUCUUGUAAUCCCUGUGAGACCACCUGUGGCGAAGGCGUCUUACCAGAACGGGUUCGACGGUGAGGGACGAAAGCUGGGGGCACGAACCGGAUUAGAUACCCGGGUAGUCCCAGCCGUAAACUAUGCUCGCUAGGUGU
rnacentral:rRNA from 1 species